UUAGGCAUGCAAGUCGAGCGAGAAGGGUUUGGUGCUUGCAUUGAACCUGGAAAGCGGCGAAACGGGAGAGUAACGCGUAGGACACCUACCCCCAGGUUCGGGAUAGCGGCGGGAAACUGCCGGUAAUACCGAAUAAUGUCUCCGGACCAAAGGUGAGAUUCCGUCUGGGGAUGGUCCUGCGUCCUAUUAGCUUGUUGGUGGGGUAAUGGCCUACCAAGGCAAAGAUGGGUAGCGGGCGUGAGAGCGUGGCCCGUCUCACUGGGACUGAGACACUGCCCAGACACCUACGGGUGGCUGCAGUCGAGAAUCUUCCGCAAUGGACGCAAGUCUGACGGAGCGACGCCGCGUGCGGGAUGAAGGCCUUCGGGUUGUAAACCGCUGUCAGUGGGGUGGAAAUCUUAUGGGGCAAUCUCCAUAAGUUGACCUAACCGCAGAGGAAGUCCGGGCUAAGUACGUG
rnacentral:rRNA from 1 species